rnacentral:lncRNA from 1 species
GUCGUGUGAGAAGGCAUGGUAUAUUAUAUUGCUCAUUUCAUUUAAUAACAACACCUUGUAAAAAUAUUCUUUUCCAAAAUAAAAACUGUUUAAUAGAACAAACAAAACUAUCUGUCACAAUGAUAUAUGAGGGCCUUGAUAAGGGGAAAAGGGGAGUGGGGGAGGGUGUUCUAUUUUUCCAUAUUCUGUUAUUCUAUUGGCCCUUUUUCUCUAUUCAGUAAGAAAUGAUUUCGGUAAAAUUCUUGUGUUCUGAUGGUGCAUAUGAAAAUUUCCUUCUGUAUCAUGAUUUUGACAUGACAGAUGUUUUGUCGGUAUCAACGACAUAUAUAUGACGACACUACCCAGUCAACCCCCCCCCCUUUUUCCCCUCCCCCGAAUCUGUCACUAUACUGCAAAAAUGAUACAAUAAUCAAUUUUGACUAUUAUCUGUUUAAAACCAAACAGGAGGAAAUUAUUUAACUUUCUUCGUAAUAAUUUGGAGAUCUGAGAUAAUAAACAGUAGAUAG